AACAAUUAGUUUUAGGUGUUUGUUGCUGUGAUAAUAGCAGCUUACCCAAUAUUUUUCUUUACUCCUUCCUGUUCUUUUAGUGUACUAUGAGGUAUACUUGCAGCUGCUCUGGAUGUGAUUAAAUACAGUUCAUCAUGAAGGAAUAGAUUCUCAGAUGCUUAACACUAGAAAUGAUUUGAAAGAAGAUGUCAAAAGUGAUUCAGUGCUGCUUACCAGUGGAAAGUGUGAUCUGAAAAAACAACACAGUGUCACUCAAGCCACUCAGACGAGCCCAGAGGUUCCUUGGCCUUCUCGGUCAUUCAACUUUCCUGAGUGCUCCUUUGACUUUACUAGGGAACAGCUCAUGGAAGAGAAUGAAUCUCUGAAACAGGAAUUGGCUAAAGCUAAAACAGCUCUUGCAGAGGCUCACUUGGAAAAAGAUGCUCUUCUCCAUCAUAUAAAGAAGAUGACAGUUGAAUAGCAGGAGCGGCAGUCAGAAACUCAAAUUAUAGCUCUGGAGUAUGGUGGUUAUAUUUAUAAUGUGAUGUUACCAAUUAGUGGAAGACUUUCCUUUUCAUGAAAAGACAAUAAAAUGAAAUAGAAUGUGAUGAAGUGGUGACUAUUCCAAAGCCAGUUUAGAAAAUACUAGGUACGGGCAUCUUUUGGUUGUUUUGUGUUUUGGGGUUUAACCCUCUUUUAAACUGGUGUGAUAUAGGGAAGUCAACGCAUACUGUAAAAUAAUUACCUGCCUAAUGAAUAGAAGAUGUCAUUUCCUAAUUUUGAUAUUACAUUAUAGGCAUUUUUUAAAAAGAAAAAUUAAAAUCUAUGUGUUCCCACUAUUUAUCACUAUUUGUUAAUAAUUUACUAUUAUUUACAAAGAUUCAGAUGCUUUUAGGGCUAAUGUAAAAUAAAAGGAGGCUUGCAUUUUAAAUGUUAUUAAAAUUAUGUACUUAAAUCUAUAUUUAAUUACUGUAAAAAAAGUCCAAUCAAAUUAAUAAAUAUCUGAUGGCUGGAUUUGAAAAUUCUAGAAAAUCAUCACCCUACUGCACUUAUAAAGUAACUUGAAAAUAUGAAAAAGAAUCAUUUCAAGUGAUGGGUAAACUGUGUAAGUUGAAGCUAUAAUUUUCAACAAAGAAGAUGGCACAAAUGUUAAAAUAAAAAACACAGGGGCUUCCCUGGUGGCGCAGUGGUUGAGAGUCCGCCUACCGAUUCAG